CGCAGAAGCGGAAGCAAUGCUUUUCUCCAACUGAAGCGUCAGUGACGGAACCCCUCCUCAUAAUCUGGUCACCGCGACUCCCACCCCCAUCUCUCUCCUCAAACGCCACAAAUUCCAUGCGGUGAUGGAUGCAACAGAGCCCAGCCUCCUCUAGGGUUUGCGUCCGCCAUCGAGGUGAUAACCGGCGGCUAUGGCGGCGAUGGCGACUUGCGGGACAAAGGAAGGAUUGCAAGACCAUCGUUCUGGAGGAUGGGUGAGACUUUAUGCAGAGGGGCUUCAACAUGCUCAUCAACAUCCUCGAGGGCCAGAGCCCGAGCACAACUCCGAAGACUACAUGAUGCAGCUGACCACGUUAGUGAUUGCUGGCUUUGCUGCAUUGGUCAAUUUUAAAUUCAGUUAAACAAGGAAAACAAGAUCAGAAUUUCUGCUACUACACUUGGUAUUGGCGCUUGGGGGUCCACAGGUUCAUCGAUUGUUCUUAUACUUUUGGUAUGCUCCAUUCAGUUCUCAUUGCAUGAAUUUGUAUACAAAAGGAUGUAUGAUGCAAGAUGACUAAGAAACAAAACUGAAUUUUGUUCAGGCUGCAGUCCGUGUCUCCAUGUAGCUCUUUUGUAGUACUAUUGACUAAGUGGUACAUUUUCCCCAUGAUUUUGUAUGGCCUUUGUAGCUGCAGAGAAACUGAUAGUUGGAGUUAGGGGAUAUGGAUAUAUCAGCCACAUCGGGUGACCUUACAGAAGUUCAGAUAAUACUUACCUCUAGGGAGCCUGCUUUAGGGAUUUUCUUCGGUGCUUCCAAAUUGUUAGGCAAAGAUUUGUGGAACAGUAAUACAAUGACAGUAGUUCUGCAA